rnacentral:rRNA from 1 species
UACGGGGGGGGCAAGCGUUGUUCGGAAUUACUGGGCGUAAAGGGUUUGUAGGUGGCUUGUUAAGUCAGACGUGAAAUCCCUCAGCUUAACUGGGGAACUGCGUCUGAGACUGGUGAGCUUGAGUGCAGGAGAGGAACGCGGAAUUCCAGGUGUAGCGGUGAAAUGCGUAGAUAUCUGGAGGAACACCGGUGGCGAAGGCGGCGUUCUGGACUGCAACUGACACUGAAAAACGAAAGCCAGGGGAGCAAACGGG